rnacentral:rRNA from 1 species
AUUGAACGCUGGCGGCAUGCCUUACACAUGCAAGUCGAACGGUAACGGGCCUUCGGUUUCCGACGAGGGGCGGACGGGUGCGUAAUACUUCGGAACGUGCCCGCUCCUUGGGGGUGAGGGGGCACAAGCUUUGCUAAUACCUCAUACGAUCUACGGACGAUAGACAGGGACCGCAAGGCCUUGCGCUGCCGGAGCGUCCGAUGGAGGAUUAGGUGGUUUGUGGGAUAAAGGCUUACCAAGCCAACGUUCUGUAGCUGGUCUGAGAGGAUGAUCAUCCACACUGGGACUGAGACACGGCCCAGCCUCCUGCGGGAGGCAGCAGUGGGGAAUUUUGGACAAUGGGCGCAAGCCUGAUCCAGCCAUGCCGCGUGCAGGAUGAAGGCCUUCGGGUGGUAAACUGCUUUUGUACGGAACGAAAAGCCUUCUUUUAAUACAGGAGGGUCAUGACGGUACCGUAAGAAUAAGCACCGGCUAACUACGUG